GUUUGCUGUUUUGUGAAGAGGAAAGAGUCAGCGCUUAGAGUAGAAGCCCAUGAGAAAACAGCAAGAAGGUGCAAGGUUUUCUUUCUCUGAAAUAUACUGCAAUGUUCUGGAAGCAUCAUCUUUGUCUGUGAAGUAUCCUUGUAAUAGAGACCUCCAAGAUUCAGCCUUUGACAAACUGCCACCUUGUCAGAGUGCAGCACAGUUUAUUAUUCCUGGAUAAAAGCCUAUAUGAUCCUCAAGAUUUCUAUGCUGCCUUUUGCAAUUCCCAUGGAGUAUAUUAUCUGAUAUUCGUCUCAUUUCAUAUAAUCCUUAUUAUGGGACAUUCUUUCAUCGUGAAGAUUAUUUUAGUCAGUCAUAACAGACCUGGCUUACAUUUAGCAGGACAAAAUUAAAGACUUCAAUGAAAAAAAAUGGGUCUAAUUAGGUAAGCCUAGAAGUCAGAGUUUUUUGAAAAUCAAGAAAUGUUCAACCAGACAAUUCUAUCCUCCCUUCUCAGAGAAAACUAUAACAGUACUAUCUUUUGAUAAUCAAGCUUGUUGAGAAGAAAAGUUUUAUCUAAAGACGCAGAAGCAAAAAAGAAAUAUAUACCAUCAAGUGUUUCUUUUCCUACACAGAACUUUGUAUAAUUAGUGGAAUGUGUUAGAAAAAACUAAAAUUUGAAAGAAUAACAUCCAGAAGGGGACAAGACUGCAAGCUUUAUACCUAUGCCAUUUCUAAUAGGAAGAUGUUUUUCAACCAGAUACAUAAAUAGAAUACUGGAAAAUGGGUGCCUUUUUUUUUAGCAGAAAAGAGAUACUCUUGAGAAUGGAAAAGUGUACAUGAAAAAUACUGUUAUGAUGUUUCCUAGGAAUUACACUUUUUUGAAAUAAGCUUAGUCCACUUUAAUUUAUGUAUGUUGGUUUCUGAACUGUAAAUCCUAUUGCAUAUUUGAUUUAUAUAUUUCUUUAAUAAAGCUUUGCAUUUUCUUCUGACUAAUAGGAGGGAGAACAGUAGUGAAAAAUGUUGUUGGGUGGCUUUAGAAGGAAUAUGGAGAUCUAUAACUACAACUUAGGAAAAAGGUGAUGCUUCACAGUUCCAGUCCCUGUCAUUCCUGUGCUGAAGACCCCAGAGGUGAUGCAGCCCUGCCGGUGGGGUCUCACCGGAGCAGAGCAGAGGGGCAGAAUCCCCUCCCUGGCCCUGCUGCCCAUGAUGCUUUGGAUGCAGCCCAGGACACAUUUGGCUUUCUGGGCUGUGAGUGCCCAUGGCUGGGUCAUGUCCAGCCUCUCAUCCACCCGGACCCCCAAGUCCUUCUGGGCAGGGCUGCUCUUGAUCUGCUCAUCCCCAGCCUGUGUUAAUACCACGGGUUGCCCCAGCCCAGGUGCAGCGUCUUGCUCUUGGUCUUGUUAAUCCACAUGAGAUUUCCAUGUACCCACUUCUCAGGCCAAUUCGUGUCCCUCUGGACAGCAUCACAUCCUCCAGGUGUGUCAUCCAUGCCACUUAUCUGCAAAUUGUCUGAUAGUGCACACAAUCCCUUUGUCUAUGCUGUUAAUGAAGAUAUUGACUAACACUGGUUCAUAACACUGAUGUCCAUUGGGACUUUUAUCUAUCUACUCUGGUGCUAUUAUAAAUCUAAGGCUGAUGAUGUUUUUCAGGUGUGCCAUCUACAGAUUGGAAGUAUUCCAUUAAAAACAUCUUGGGUUCAGUUUGAUUUUGUUAAAAACAGGACACAAAUUUAUAGAGACUCUUCCGGGGUUCCGCUUGUGUUUGUCCUCUUAUAACAUCAAGAAGCAGAGGAGGUGGCCCAGGAGGCUCAGUCAUGCCCUGGAUAAAUGUGCAGCUCGGCAGGGUGUAGAGACCUCAUGUCAGAUCUUCUUCUAGUCUUAGUGUUGACACCUCAGCUCCAAGGCCACCUCUCUGUGACCAGUUUUAGAUUCAAUUCUCCUAAAUUCCGCAAUGCCAUCUUAAUCAUGCAUCAACUUCAUCCCCAUUCAAUAACUGUGACUUUUCCAUAGAAAGAAGUCUGGUGUGCACAUUGGAUAGCACCUGUAGCAUAGCAGAAAGUUCUGUGACCUGAGUAUUUAGA